UAGAGUUCUUAUAGUUUUGCUUACAACAAAACUUUUUAUAACUCUUU
rnacentral:tRNA from 1 species